rnacentral:lncRNA from 1 species
CUUAUCUUCUACUGCCAUCCAAAGGCUACAUCUGAAAGUGGUUUGUUCCAUUGACAUUUAUGGGGAACAUGUUGAUUUGGGGGGAAAUGGUUGAAAUAGAAUGCAAUAGAGUGAACAAGUGACAUACAGUUGAAACCAAAAGUCAUGUCAAAAAAAUGUGUGAGAGAAUGUUUACAUACACUAAGAUUACUAAACUAUUUGGGAAAGCCCAGAUGAUGAUGUCAUGGCUUUGGAAGCAUCUGAUAGGUUAUCUGACACCACUUGAGUUGAUUGGAAGGACACCUGUGGAUGUAUUUAAAGGAACACCUCAACAUGCCGCUUCCUUUUGUGGCACCAGGGGAAAGUCUAAAGAAAUCAGCCAAGACAUCAGAAAGAGAAUUGUGGACCUCCACAAGACUGGUUCAUCCUUGGCAGGUGGGGACAGUACAGGCGAGCGACAUGUCGGGGAUGGACAAGGACGCGGGUCCCCGAGUCGCGCCGGUGGGGACAGUACAGGCGAGCGACAUGUCGGGGAUGAACAAGGACGCGGGUCCCCGACUCGCGCCGGUGGGGACAGUACAGGCGAGCGACAUGUCGGGGAUGGACAAGGACGCGGGUCCCCGACUCGCGCCGGUGGGGACAGUACAGGCGAGCGACAUGUCGGGGAUGGACAAGGACGCGGGUCCCCGAGUCGCGCCGGUGGGGACAGUACAGGCGAGCGACAUGUCGGGGAUGGACAAGGACGCGGGUCUCCGACUCGCGCCGGGAAAUCGCUUGUCCCCCGCGGCGGUGGGGACAGUACGGGCGAGCGACAUGUCCCGCUGGCCAGCACCCCCCUGCUUCGUGUCGCGCUGGGAUGUCGCCCCUGUCGCCCGCGGCAGUGACAGUGCAGGCACAAUGAAACUUAAAAAGAAAAAACUAAAACCGAAGGAGGAGGCAGCAUAUUUCACAUCUAUGUGCAAGGACAAGAAUGGAUUUGAGAUUAAAUAUAUAAACGCUGAUAAAGGUGAGUCAGGAAUUUUGUAUUGACUGGGAUUACAGAAUCGCCUUGGAUCUUCUGUUAUAUUACUCUUGGUUUACUUCUUGUAGGUAGAGGAGUGUUUAGUACCUGGGGAAUUCCUCUUGGAAUACAGAGGUGACCUCAUAACUCUGGAUGAAUGUGAAAGAAGACUGAACGUCUACCACAGUGCCUUUGUUUCUAGUGUUUCUAUUUGAGUUUCGUUUCAAUGGA